rnacentral:sRNA from 1 species
GGCAUCCCCACGCUCAUCAUGCUGGACCCGCAGGGCGAGAUUCUGAGGAUGACGGAGAGUCCGAGGCGGCCAAGCAGCUGAUUCAGCCGAUAGCUGAGAAAAUCAUUGCCAAGUACAAAGCCAAAGAGGAGGAGGCACCCCUUCUGUUCUUCGUAGCCGGGGAGGAUGACAUGACUGACUCCCUGCGAGAUUACACCAACCUGCCUGAGGCUGCCCCUUUGCUCACCAUCCUGGACAUGUCAGCCCGGGCCAAGUACGUGAUGGACGUGGAGGAGAUCACCCCCGCCAUCGUGGAGGCCUUUGUGAAUGACUUCCUAGCAGAGAAGCUCAAACCGGAGCCCAUCUAGCGUGGCUCCGGCCUCCUGAGACGUUAUUUAAAACUCAGCCUUCUCCUCCUCCCCCUCCUUCCUUCCGCCCUUGGACUUACCCAGCGUGCCCCGAAUCCCAUCACCCAAGUGUCCAGCCUCUCUGUGGUGCCUUGUUUCUGCAGUAAACUCCUCAGCCAGCA